GUGGGCGUGAUGGUCAGCGGUCCGAUAUACUUCAACAGGAGACCGGGUAGACCCAGCGCCCCGAUGCACACCUCCACCAGGGAUGACACAAUGAUGGCCCCUUGGAUCUAAAAUAAAGAAAAGAAUUGUCACUUGAGGAUGCCAGAUGUGUUCGGUGUGGAGAAUUUCUGUGCCGUUUGUCUCGAGUAUCCCUGAGGACAGAAGAACAAAAAGAUUCCAAUGUCAGGUCAAGAUCAGACAAGAGACAAAAGUAAAACUAGGUGUGAUGUCAAACAAAGGUCCUCACCGGUGUUGUUGCACUUCCAUUUGUCCAGUGACAGAAUAGCUCUGGCUGGGGCAAGGAAGGCAAAAGCGCUGGCCUGGAACAAAGGCAACCUUGGACACCGGGAAAAACUCAUCAGAAAUCAAAUAUCACUUUUAAGUUGAUGAAAAGAAUUUGCCUAAAUAAAUGUUUGGCCAAGCAGCACAUCCGA